ACUCCUUAAGUAUGGUAAACAUUGUUGUAAUUUUGUUUUUAAUGCCGUCUUUGUUUAGAGCAAGCUGGCAGUGAAUGUGGUACAAGUGGUUCACACAUGAUGCGUGCUGAUCAGCUGAAAGCCCUGAGAACAUCAGCUUUGGAAUGGUCCUCCUAGUGCAAAUUGUCUUAAUGCUCCAUUACCCUUAAGAUCACGAAAGUCCAGGUUUCCCAGCAGAGACAUAAAUCACAGAAUCGGAAGAGACCAGCAAAAAGACAAAGGAGGCUGUAUCAUUUUCCCUGGUUUUGCUGCUACUCUUCUUUCUUUCAUGUCGCUCCCCUCAGCUGCAGUACUUGGAUUUGCUGCCCAUCUGCGAUGUCAAGGACCCAGGACACCCCAGGGAAUGUCAUCCCCAGGUUCAGCACUGUGAGUAUCAAGAGUUCUGAACGCUGAAGAAGUAAUCAUGAGUUAUCAUCGCAGCAAAAUGUAGACACAUGCGUGACACUCAUUUAAAGGGAACCAGUUUUUCUGCAGGGUUGAAACAGUACGGUGUACUGCAUCAUUUCAGUGUACAUCUCCAGUGCUAGAACUGAAAGUCAAAGCCAUUCAGCAGAACUCACUUCUCAUUUUCUGUUAUUAAAGGUAUUGCUGCUGAGGAUUACUUAUGCACAUACUGCUGGAGAGAAUAACAUACGUUGAUAAUGCUGUUUUCCUACAAAACUGUUUAUCCAGCUACAUAAGGGAAAAAAAAGAGUCCAUCUCAUCUGUCGGUGUAAUGUACUGAGGUUUUUAAUCUCCUUAUGUUUUCUAAAGGCAGUGAAAAGAUGCUGCAAUACACAACUCAUGAUUAGGGACAAAAAAUCUUGGUGAACAUGUUUCUGCCUCUAAUGUCAUUGGGGAUAGAGAUGAAAGCAAAUGAAUGAUAUGAAAUAGCCUGAGAGGAGGGACUUAUUUUGCAAAUUAUUAUUAUCAAAGAGCUGGCAUGGCGUUCUGCCUUGGCCAAAGCGCACAAAAAUAAAAGUACAGCAAGUCUC